CAACGUGGGUAACCUGCCUUAUAGUGGGGGAUAGCCUUUCGAAAGGAAGAUUAAUACCGCAUAAGAUUGUAGGUAUCGCAUGAUAUAGCAAUUAAAAGGAGCAAUCGCUAUAAGAUGGACCCGCGUCGCAUUAGCUAGUUGGUGAGGUAAUGGCUCACCAAGGCGACGAUGCGUAGCCGACCUGAGAGGGUGAUCGGCCACAUUGGGACUGAGACACGGCCCAGACUCCUACGGGAGGCAGCAUG
rnacentral:rRNA from 1 species